rnacentral:rRNA from 1 species
AUUGAACGCUGGCGGCAGGCUUAACACACGCAAGUCGAGCGGGGGAAGGUAGCUUGCUACCGGACCUAGCGGCGGACGGGUGAGUAAUGCUUAGGAAUCUGCCUAUUAGUGGGGGACAACAUCUCGAAAGGGAUGCUAAUACCGCAUACGUCCUACGGGAGAAAGCAGGGGAUCUUCGGACCUUGCGCUAAUAGAUGAGCCUAAGUCGGAUUAGCUAGUUGGUGGGGUAAAGGCCUACCAGGGCGACGAUCUGUAGCGGGUCUGAGAGGAUGAUCCGCCACACUGGGACUGAGACACGGCCCAGACUCCUACGGAAGGCAGCAGUGGGGAAUAUUGGACAAUGGGGGGAACCCUGAUCCAGCCAUGCCGCGUGUGUGAAGAAGGCCUUAUGGUUGUAAAGCACUUUAAGCGAGGAGGAGGCUACUCUAGUUAAUACCUAGGGAUAGUGGACGUUACUCGCAGAAUAAGCACCGGCUAACUCUGUGCCAGCCGCGGCCGUAA